rnacentral:rRNA from 1 species
AUUGAACGCUGGCGGCAGGCCUAACACGUGCAAGUCGAGCGGAUGAAGGUAGCUUGCUACCUGAUUCAGCGGCGGACGGGUGAGUAAUGCCUAGGAAUCUGCCUGGUAGGGGGGGACAACGUUUCGAAAGGAACGCUAAUACCGCAUACGUCCUACGGGAGAAAGUGGGGGAUCCUCGGACCUCACGCUAUCAGAUCAGCCGAGGUACGAUUAGCUAGUUGGUGAGGUAAGGGCUGACCAAGGCUACGAUCGUUAACUGGCCUGAGAGGAUGAUCAGUCACACAGGAACGGAGACACGGUCCAGACUCCUACGGGAGGCAGCAGUGUGGAAGAUUGGACAAUGGGCGAAAGCCUGAUCAGCCAUGCCGCGUGUGUGAAGAAGGUCUUCGGAUUGUAAAGCACUUUAAGUUGGGAGGAAGGGCAGUAAGUUAAUACCUUGCUGUUUUGACGUUACCGACAGAAUAAGCACCGGCUAACUUCGUGCCAGCCGCCGCAGUAA